rnacentral:rRNA from 1 species
UACCAUGCAGUCGACGGUAACGGGCCUUCGGGUGCCGACGAGUGGCGAACGGGUGAGUAAUGCAUCGGAACGUACCUUUCAGUGGGGGAUAACGUAGCGAAAGUUACGCUAAUACCGCAUAUUCUGUGAGCAGGAAAGCAGGGGAUCGCAAGACCUUGCGCUGAUUGAGCGGCCGAUGUCAGAUUAGCUAGUUGGUGAGGUAAAGGCUCACCAAGGCGACGAUCUGUAGCGGGUCUGAGAGGAUGAUCCGCCACACUGGAACUGAGACACGGUCCAGACUCCUACGGGAGGCAGCAGUGGGGAAUUUUGGACAAUGGGGGCAACCCUGAUCCAGCCAUGCCGCGUGAGUGAAGAAGGCCUUCGGGUUGUAAAGCUC